GAUAGUGGGGAAUGUUUUCCUUCUAAUCUAUCUAUUCUUAUGCUCCUCCUUCUCACAAUUGCUCAUAAAUGUAGGAGGACGUGGAUAGGUGAUGCUGAGGGUGUGUUGAGUAAGACAAGUAUAUUAGAGACAACUGGUGGGCAAAUUGACAUGUGGGGAAAAAUUAAUGUUAAACAGAAAUUGUCAGAAUGACAGUGAAGAAUGACAAUCCACACAGUAAGAGAGAGUGAGAUGAGAAAGAAAAUAAGCUGGUGCUGAUUGCUCCUGCUUUGCUUGCAGGCCCCGGCAGUGCAGCCAAAGGAUCACAGUGAGCACGAUGACAAAACCUCCCACCAGGAGAACUGGGACAACAAUCACUUCUGUUUGAUAUUCACGCACAACUGUCAGCAGAGAAAGAAAAUGGAAAACCAAGGAGUAAGCAGCACACUGGUUCUGUAUAAGCAUGUAGCAACAAUCCAUUUCGGUAACUUUCAACCCCAAAAGUGUGUAUUCCAUCCUCUGGAAUAGUUGAACACUGUUAGUGCUGCCACCUUAUUUUUCAAUGGUGCUGAGUACCUAAACUGCAUGAAAUUACUAAGACCCCCACACCUAAGGUCACUUAUUUAGAUGCUUUAAUAUGGAGGCCAGGAAUUGAAGCCAUUUGAAGUCUCAUCCACCAGUGAAACAGAAACAGCACUGGCAGCAGGACAGCAGGGAGAUGGGACAGGCUGGAUAUUGCUGUCAUCACGUGCAAUUACAGCUCCAGCUCCUUCCAGUAAAAUUACACAUAGCAUUUUAAAGGAAACUAGGUGUGGUCACCUUUGGAGUUUGCCUGGAAGACAUUGCAAUUAGCAAGGCUUGUGAAGGUAACUAUCUUUCUCAUGUCCCCAGAUUUGGAGGUGGACAAGACCAUUUUUACAGUUCCCAAAGAUGGCAGAAAGUCAUGAAAUCAAAAUCUCACAAAACUGGUCCUUUGGGAAGCUGCAGGGAAUCUUUAAUGACUGCUGUACACCUCAUUCGAAGUAUGAAUUCUCUAAAAUGGCUGAAAUUAUGUGAGAUUAAUCCAGCCACAGAGGCUUCAUCCCCAUAAACAUUUCUUCCCUGAAACACAAUGCAGGGAAAGCUCCAUCAAAUCUUUCUGUGUGGGCUGGGAUGCAGUGGAGGAGGAGAAAGGGCUUAGCACUCUUUUUAGUGAAGCUGGCCUUCCUGCAAGCAUGUGAAACCUUAUUAAAGGAA